AGACGUCAAUAGCGUCAGGCUUGAGAAAUUCUACACUGAAUCCUUUAGGAGGAAUUUCUGGAAGUCACUGCAUGAUAUGGAAAGAGCUGGCUCCUGACUUCUGUCUGCACUAUAGGUUCUCUGAGGUUAGCCUGCAUCCGAAUUGCCAGCUUUUUACAUCACAUUAAGGACCUGGAAACCACCAUUCUAGUCUCUGCUUCUCUGACUUUGGUUACUUUUCAUACUGCCUGGGCGUGGAAUCCUGCAGUAUUUGUCCUGUGACUGACUCACUUCCCUUGGCCUGGUGCCCUCAACGCUCUUGAUGGUGUUGCAGGUCAAGACAUUGCCUGCUUUUGAAAGACUAGACCUUUCAUCUGUGCAUGGACAAUUUAGGUUGUUUCCACAUCUUGGCUGUUCACUGCAGUGAACAUGGAAGUACAAAGAACUUUCUGAGAUCCUGAUUCCAAGGCUUUGGAAUAUACACCCAGGCGUGGGAAUGCUGGAUCACAUGUUAGCUGGACUUUGAAUUUUUUGAAUGACCUCCGCACCGUGUUCCAUGGUGGCUGUGAGGCAGGAGGUGGAUGGGCACAAGGAUAGUAUUUACAACCAGCCACCUGCCUAGCCUCCAAGGCAGGAAUAACAACAGGCACAAGGCAAAUAACUGGUACUUGUCUUCUGUGAACUAUUAAACAAGGGUAAUGGCAGGAUCAGAAGAGGGGCUGAGCCCUGCUUGGACGAAAGACCAAGAGGUCACCUACUUCCCAUCCUCAGGGUCAGGGAGACCCCCGGCUAUACAUGCACAGAGAGACCCCUCUGGGUCAGAGACGGAGGGGGUGCCAGGCCAUAGUAAGUCUGGAUAAUCUUCCCAUCAUGCCUUGCUUUGGAAUCCAUCUUGGCCAAAAUUGCACAACAGACUGGGGAGGGCCCUGGGUCCAGUCAGGUGGGAAAAAAUAAAACAAGGUAAUUGGCCAAAGGUAAAGACCAGGAAGAACUGCCCCACAUAAGUGGUUUUAAUCACCUCUCUGGCACGCUCCUCAUUCAGGGGGACUCCCACACCCCUGCUCCUCCUUUGGGUGUGUAGGACUGCUUUGCUUCUGCCUUAGACAAAUAGGCGCCCUCAUGUUCCACCGUGUUUCCAACAAUAAGCUUUGUGCCUGCUUUUACAGUCUCUGCCUCCUUGAAACAUUCUUGCUUUCAACAGGGGGCAAGAAUCAGGGCCAUUCGGCUUGUAACCUCUAGCUGGUCUAGCGGCUGGGAUUCCUGGUUUCACCCAAGCCGCGCAGGUUCACUUCCUGAGCAGGGAAUUAAGAUCUGGCUUCAAGCCACCACUCACUGCUGUCUCUCGGAAAUCACCUGCCCUGUUUUAUGUGCCCACCUUCAGUGGACAAAGGGUCCAGUUUCUCCACAUCCUCACCAACACCAGACACCAUCACCAGACCAUCUGACUCCAGCCCUGAUGACUUUGAAACGAUCUGUGGAAGGAGAAGAACGCAGGCACCCCAAUCCUUAUCGACAGCCCUGUUUUCUUUCAAGCUAAACCUAUACGACCCCUUGCUGUCCCCUCUCAAGAGAGGACAGAGUUUUGAGGCAUUAGCCUUCUGUGGCCUCCUUUGCUUGGCAAAACAAUAAAACUGUUCUUUCUGCUUCAC
rnacentral:lncRNA from 1 species